UCCUCCUAGGAAGGAAAGUUGUCAAGUUCAGAAAGCAGGUGCUAAUCGGAAACUCUGGGGGUCGGGGAACCUGGGCUGCCCCUCCCGGGGGGGUCGGAUCGGGAAUCGACGCAGGAGGGCGGACCGCAGAAUCGGAGCGCUCGGCAGCAGCCUUCGCUCGGGCGCGGCACCCAGCACCCCGACGGGGAGACGCUGGGCGCCGGCUGCCCCGGCAAAGCUGGCAAAAUCCUCCAUCCGCGCUUCCCAGACUGGAGAGCAUCGAAGGGAGGACCACCUGAAGGCUCAUUCGAAACGCGCGUUCCCCGGCCCCGCCCUCGGGCGCGGAAUCCGCAGUGCCCUACGAGAGAUCCCGAAACCGGACACCUGUGAUGUUCAUCCAUUUUAGUGUUUUCCUGCUGUUUGUGUCUAUUCUCAUCUGCUCGUUUGUGUAUGUUUAGAAUAAUAAAAUUACACAUACUUAAAGUCUUUAA